rnacentral:rRNA from 1 species
CAGUCGAACGGAAAGGCCUCCAGCUUGCUGGGGGUACUCGAGUGGCGAACGGGUGAGUAACACGUGGGUGAUCUGCCCUGCACUUCGGGAUAAGCCUGGGAAACUGGGUCUAAUACCGGAUAGGACCCUCCUUUAGUGUGGGGGGUGGAAAGUUUUUUCGGUGCAGGAUGAGCCCGCGGCCUAUCAGCUUGUUGGUGGGGUAAUGGCCUACCAAGGCGUCGACGGGUAGCCGGCCUGAGAGGGUGGACGGCCACAUUGGGACUGAGAUACGGCCCAGACUCCUACGGGAGGCAGCAGUGGGGAAUAUUGCACAAUGGGCGCAAGCCUGAUGCAGCGACGCCGCGUGGGGGAUGACGGCCUUCGGGUUGUAAACCUCUUUCGACAGGGACGAAGCUUUUUGUGACGGUACCUGUAUAAGAAGCACCGGCUAACUACGUGCCAGCAGCCGCGGUAAUACGUAGGGUGCGAGCGUUGUCCGGAAUUACUGGGCGUAAAGAGCUCGUAGGUGGUUUGUCGCGUCGUCUGUGAAAUUCCGGGGCUUAACUCCGGGCGUGCAGGCGAUACGGGCAAUACUUGAGUGCUGUAGGGGAGACUGGAAUUCCUGGUGUAGCGGUGAAAUGCGCAGAUAUCAGGAGGAACACCAAUGGCGAAGGCAGGUCUCUGGGCAGUAACUGACGCUGAGGAGCGAAAGCAUGGGUAGCGAACAGGAUUAGAUACCCUGGUAGUCCAUGCCGUAAACGGUGGGCGCUAGGUGUAGGGGUCUUCCACGACUUCUGUGCCGUAGCUAACGCAUUAAGCGCCCCGCCUGGGGAGUACGGCCGCAAGGCUAAAACUCAAAGGAAUUGACGGGG